UACGGGGGGAGCAAGCGUUGUUCGGAUUUACUGGGCGUAAAGGGCGCGUAGGCGGCGUGACAAGUCACUUGUGAAAUCUCCGGGCUUAACUCGGAGCGGUCAAGUGAUACUGUCGUGCUAGAGUGCGGAAGGGGCUACUGGAAUUCUCGGUGUAGCGGUGAAAUGCGUAGAUAUCGAGAGGAACACCUGCGGCGAAGGCGGGUAGCCGGGCCGACACUGACGCUGAUGCGCGAAAGCCAGGGGAGCGAACGGG
rnacentral:rRNA from 1 species